CACUGGGGCCCAAAUGAGUAUCCGACUCAUCAUACCCUCAUAGUACAUCCAAUGUACUUUGCUGAAGCGAGACUUGUGGGGUUCCAGAUCAAUGAAUGAUAACCGAGAAGAAAAAAAA